AUAUAUAAGUUUCUUAAUCUUUAUCUUCAUCAUAAACAAUCGUCUUCUUCCUACGGCCAUUCUUCUCUGCUUAGUGUUAGGGUUUUGAUUCAUAGUGUGUAGUCCUUUUCGAUUUCUUCGUAGUGGAUUUAUUGGCGUCGAAUACUGAUUACGAGCAACCGCGAGACUUCGUUUCAUAAUCGGCUGCUUCGUAUGAGCCGACGCGAUAACUGUUCCAAUUCUGUGAACUGCAGAGUGAUAAUAGUUGCAUACGUGCUCUGAAGAUGGAAGUGAUGAUACUUUCCCCAAACGAUCGACGCUGAUUAUACUAUGCUGGUGCUCUUAGCACUUUGAAUCUGAUCCAUCUUCCAGCAUAUCCGUUUAUAUUCUUUAAAAUCAGAAUUAAGAAUAUCCUCUUUUAGUUUUUAUAUAUAUAUAUUUUAACGUCUUUCGCUUUCUGAGUCUAGAAUUGAGGUGGUUUAAUUGUAAUAGUUCAUUAUCUAGACUGCUUGUGAUCAAUUUCCUUCGGGAUAAAUGCGCAACAAUUUCCAGCCUGGUAGAAGUUUUUAGACCUCGAUGAAUUUAUGUAAUCAAUUACCAACUACCUACCUGUUUCUGGGUAUUCAAGAAUGUUUUGUUAAUACUCAUUCAAAUGAUAUUGUUUCUGUUUACAGCGAAUUGCUAUUUGGACAUGAGAUUUACGG